rnacentral:rRNA from 1 species
CGCGCAGGUGGUUUCCUUAAGUCUGAUGUGAAAGCCCACGGCUCAACCGUGGAGGGUCAUUGGAAACUGGGAGACUUGAGUGCAGAAGAGGAAAGUGGAAUUCCAUGUGUAGCGGUGAAAUGCGUAGAGAUAUGGAGGAACACCAGUGGCGAAGGCGACUUUCUGGUCUGUAACUGACACUGAGGCGCGAAAGCGUGGGGAGCAAACAGGAUUAGAUACCCUGGUAGUCCACGCCGUAAACGAUGAGUGCUAAGUGUUAGAGGGUUUCCGCCCUUUAGUGCUGAAGUUAACGCAUUAAGCACUCCGCCUGGGGAGUACGGCCGCAAGGCUGAAACUCAAG